GUGAUCCCCCCCCCCCCCGAAUACGUUGUGGUGGAGUCAGACCUGCUGCCACUUUUAUCCCAGAUCCCGUGGUCCAGAAAGCAUCUUCCCCAAACCGAUGAAUGGACAUCUCAAACAGCACACAAUGGAAUUUAUUACUACUGGUCUUGAAGUGGGCAUGUGUAGGAAGUGAUUUCCCCGCUCUCUUGCAGGGCCAAGACGUGAUAGAAAACAACCCACAAUCCAACUCUGCAAACAUCUGUCACUGCACUUUAAUGCCAACAACGGUCUGCCUGUCACUCAUCCAGCCCCUGCCUCUCCUUUCCUCCAGCUUGUAUACGGAGGAUUUUGUGUUUGAGCCUCCAAAUUGAAGUUGUUGUCCCUGAGUUACUGCUGCUCCUCCUGGUGAUGUGUGUCUGUAGAGCUCCGAUAUCUGAAGAGGAAAUCUGAUUGUUACAAGAAAGCUCAGAUGUUGCAGUUGGUUACUGCUCAGAUUCUCUGCUGUGGUAAAAAUUCAGUCUAAUAUGUGUUUUUAAAGUUUCUAAUAUACCGUGUACGCGAAUGAAGCUAUUUAUUGGAAAUGACGUUAUUAGUUAUCAGUGUUGGGAUUUAAUGUUGCCGCUCCCUUGGCCUGCAGCCAGAGGCGUAUCAUCACAUUGAGUUGGACAAAGAGCAACAGGCUGUCAUUCUGAUACCAAGCACUGACAACUGAACACACAACCUGAUCUGCACUCAAAACGACACUCGGAACUUACUGAAGAGCACAUUUGAUCACAUCUGCGGUGCAGAUAAGACAUGUUUUACACACUACACAAGAGGAGACCUUCUGUUUUCUCCUUCAGUGCAUUUGUUUUGUAUGUUCAGUGGAAAAAAGAAAAUGAAAAAAAUAAGGUAUCAGUGUGUUCGGCCUGUAACUCUAAUUCUGACCACAGCCUUGUAUAAAAAGAUCUUUUAAAAAAUGGCUUGAUUUACCCUUGGUAUUUUAGGCUGGAUCUGCAUGCAAACAGAAAAUCUGUUAUUUAACUGUGUGGCCACGUUUCAGUCUGUUCAUUGGCGGGAAUCUCAUUUCAGAUGUCCAUAAAAUCUGAGAUUGAAGUCACAAGAUGAAAACUGUUUUUGUUUUUUUUUCUGCUUCAAAUGCAGCAUAAACAUGUAAACUGCCUUCCACUCACAACUAAUGGUUCUAGGUAAAGUAUUUCUAGUUUGUCAUGUUUGGAUCACAUGGGGUUAAAUGUCGGAUUUGCUUAAAGAUUCUGUACUUGAUAUUCAGCACAUUGAUAUGUAUGCAAACUAAAAAGGUCUGAAGAUAUAGAAUAACGGCAUCCUGAGCAGAGGCUAAAGCCACACUCCCUCUGUGUGUUUUAAUCCGAGCUGCUUUGUUUUUAUUGUCUGUUAUUGGCAAUCCCAGCACGUUUUUUCUUUUCUUUUUUCUUUUCUUCAGUAUUUUGAGUAAAACCCAUUUAAAGUACCAGAAACGUUUUGGUAAAUUUAGCCCUUUCUGUUGAGAUUUGAAGCUGCAGGUAGUAGUGUGUAUUCUCCCCAAGUAUUGUUUGUUGUGUAAGUUCUACAUAUCACUGGAGGAAUAAAAUUAGUGAUCUUGG